GAUGAACGCUGGCGGCGUGCCUAAUACAUGCAAGUCGAGCGAACGGACGAGAAGCUUGCUUCUCUGAUGUUAGCGGCGGACGGGUGAGUAACACGUGGAUAACCUACCUAUAAGACUGGGAUAACUUCGGGAAACCGGAGCUAAUACCGGAUGAUAUUUUGAACCGCAUGGUUCAAAAGUGAAAGACGGUCUUGCUGUCACUUAUAGAUGGAUCCGCGCUGCAUUAGCUAGUUGGUAAGGUAACGGCUUACCAAGGCAACGAUGCAUAGCCGACCUGAGAGGGUGAUCGGCCACACUGGAACUGAGACACGGUCCAGACUCCUACGGGAGGCAGCAGUAGGGAAUCUUCCGCAAUGGGCGAAAGCCUGACGGAGCAACGCCGCGUGAGUGAUGAAGGUCUUCGGAUCGUAAAACUCUGUUAUUAGGGAAGAACAUAUGUGUAAGUAACUGUGCACAUCUUAACGGUACCUAAUCAGAAAGCCACGGCUAACUACGUG
rnacentral:rRNA from 1 species